CUCCGACACGUGGUGGCGAUAUUGAGCUGUGUGUUAACUACAGCUUGCAGCUUGCGCUUUUAGCUGCUUGUAGUUGAGUGGCAGCAUGAGCGAGCUCUGCGUAUUCCACCCCGGCGUUAAGAAUCCUUCACUAGCUUUUCUUCCCGACUCUGCUUAUUUAUCCAUCGGUAGCAUGGCGGGUAAUUGACGCCCUCGGAUGGCUUUGAGGUCGCCAUUUUUGGUUGGUGCUUUUGUCAUGGUGUCAGGACCGGGAUAUCAUCUGGGACACAUUACCCCACAGGUAUCCUGUUGAACCUCAACGAGGAAGUUGGCAACACAGGAACCGGGAGAUGAGACAGAUCGUUAGGUACCUACAGUCGCUGAGAGCCUGUAUUCCAAGGCCAUGAGACGCCUUAUGUCGUGAGCAGUUGACGAGAGAGACCCAGCACUUACUGCAACCGGAAGGAGUGAUUCCUCCCGCGCUUGCUCAGCCGCUCUUCCCCGCCACUCCCUCGGCGCCCGUCAGCACCUUCCCAGCAAGCCCUGCUUAUAUUUGCAUAUCGACUCACGUCCUUUUCUUCUAAGUAAAAAUCGAAAGGACAAAUUGUAGAGUCUCCUUAUGAAGUCUUCCUUUCAGUUCAGAAGAAAUGGAAUUCACUCUCCAACUUCAGGAAAUUGAAAUAAAGAGUUGCUUGUAUUUAGUGUUCACCUUUACCAUAAAAUGGAUUUGCUAACACUGCCACCCUGCUUUGGUAACGAAUAAAGCAAAAAGGGCUUCUGUCGUGAGUGGCACACGUAGGGCAACUCGAUUGCUCUUCGUGCGGAAUCGACAUCAAGAGAUUUCGGAAGCAUAAUUUUUUGAUAUUCGGGCAGCUGGUGAUCGUUGGUCCCGGCGCCCU